GUCCACGCCGUAAACGAUGGAUACUAGCUGUUGGGGCAACUUCAGUGGCUAAGCGAAAGUGAUAAGUAUCCCACCUGGGGAGUACGUUCGCAAGAAUGAAACUCAAAGGAAUUGACGGGGCCCGCACAAGCAGUGGAGUAUGUGGUUUAAUUCGAUGAUACGCGAGGAACCUUACCAAGGCUUAAAUGUAGAUUGACCGUUUUGGAAACAGAACUUUCGCAAGACAAUUUACAAGGUGCUGCAUGGUUGUCGU
rnacentral:rRNA from 1 species